rfam:Myotis davidii contig138777, whole genome shotgun sequence.
GAGACACCCUUAUGGGGCAAGACUUGCUUCAGUGGGGCUUUGGUGCUUACAGAGUCUGCCCCCUGAGUGUGUCCUU